GCAUGGCUGAAUACUGUGUUCUUUUUUUACCAAUAUUUUACACAGCCAGACACCGUGCAAAAAUAAAGUUCUUCUUUGAAAUGGCUUUUGAUAGUAUGCAGCUUUUUCAUGGCAUAUCGUUAUCAAAGUAGCUACGAAU
ensembl:snoRNA